rnacentral:rRNA from 1 species
UACGUAGGGUGCAAGCGUUAAUCGGAAUUACUGGGCGUAAAGCGUGCGCAGGCGGCUAUGCAAGACAGAUGUGAAAUCCCCGGGCUCAACCUGGGAACUGCAUUUGUGACUGCAUGGCUAGAGUACGGUAGAGGGGGAUGGAAUUCCGCGUGUAGCAGUGAAAUGCGUAGAUAUGCGGAGGAACACCGAUGGCGAAGGCAAUCCCCUGGACCUGUACUGACGCUCAUGCACGAAAGCCAGGGGAGCAAACGGG